UGGUAAUUUACAGAUCAGAGGAGUUAGACU
rnacentral:piRNA from 1 species